rnacentral:rRNA from 1 species
AACGAACGCUGGCGGCAGGCUUAACACAUGCAAGUCGAGCGUCCUCGCGAAGGGGGCGCGGCAGACGGGUGAGUAACGCGUGGGAACAUACCUUUCGGUUCGGAAUAACCCAGGGAAACUUGGGACAAUACCGGAUACGUGCGAGAGCAGAAAGAUUUAUCGCCGAAAGAUUGGCCCGCGUCCGAUUAGCUAGUUGGUGAGGUAACGGCUCACCAAGGCGACGAUCGGUAGCUGGUCUGAGAGGAUGAUCAGCCACACUGGGACUGAGACACGGCCCAGACUCCUACGGGAGGCAGCAGUGGGGAAUAUUGCACAAUGGGCGAAAGCCUGAUGCAGCGACGCCGCGUGAGGGAUGAAGGCCUUCGGGUUGUAAACCUCUUUCAGUAGGGAAGAAGCGCAAGUGACGGUACCUACAGAAGAAGCACCGGCUAACUACGUG